rnacentral:rRNA from 1 species
UUGCGUCAGUAGCGGCGAGCGAAAGCGCAAGAGGGCAAACCCAGUGCUUGCACUGGGGGUUGUAGGACUGCAAUGUGCAAGAGGUGAGUUUAGCAGAACAUUCUGGAAAGUAUAGCCAUAGAGGGUGAUAGUCCCGUAUGCGAAAAACAAACCUUAGCUAGCAGUAUCCUGAGUAGGGCGGGACACGAGAAAUCCUGUCUGAAGCUGGGUCGACCACGAUCCAACCCUAAAUACUAAUACCAGAUCGAUAGUGCACAAGUACCGUGAGGGAAAGGUGAAAAGAACUGAGGUGAUCAGAGUGAAAUAGAACCUGAAACCAUUUGCUUACAAUCAUUCAGAGCCCUAUGUAGCAAUACAGGGUGAUGGACUGCCUUUUGCAUAAUGAGCCUGCGAGUUGUGGUGUCUGGCAAGGUUAAGCAAACGCGAAGCCGUAGCGAAAGCGAGUCUGAAUAGGGCGCUUAGUCAGAUGCUGCAGACCCGAAACGAAGUGAUCUAUCCAUGAGCAAGUUGAAGCUAGUGUAAGAACUAGUGGAGGACUGAACCCAUAGGCGUUGAAAAGCCCCGGGAUGACUUGUGGAUAGGGGUGAAAGGCCAAUCAAACUUCGUGAUAGCUGGUUCUCUCCGAAAUAUAUUUAGGUAUAGCGUUGUGUCGUAAUAUAAGGGGGUAGAGCACUGAAUGGGCUAGGGCAUACACCAAUGUACCAAACCCUAUCAAACUCCGAAUACCUUAUAUGUAAUCACAGCAGUCAGGCGGCGAGUGAUAAAAUCCGUCGUCAAGAGGGAAACAACCCAGACUACCAGCUAAGGUCCCUAAAUCUUACUUAAGUGGAAAACGAUGUGAAGUUACUUAAACAACCAGGAGGUUGGCUUAGAAGCAGCCAUCCUUUAAAGAAAGCGUAAUAGCUCACUGGUCUAGUGAUUUUGCGCGGAAAAUAUAACGGGGCUAAAGU